rnacentral:pre_miRNA from 2 species
UAGGGUGACCAACCAUCCCAGUUUGCCUGGGACAGAGAGGUUUCCCAGGACACAGCAUUUUCAGUACUGAAACUGGGACAAUCUUGGGCAAACUGGGCUCGUUGGUUACCCUAUUCCUGG